UUGCAUUAGAAUUAGAAUCUAAUUAUACUAAAAUUACUCCCUCUAUCAUAUUAAUAACAAUU
rnacentral:tRNA from 1 species